rnacentral:rRNA from 1 species
CGGACGGGUGAGUAAUGUCUGGGAAACUGCCUGAUGGAGGGGGAUAACUACUGGAAACGGCAGCUAAUACCGCAUAACGUCGCAAGACCAAAGAGGGGGACCUUCGGGCCUCUUGCCAUCGGAUGUGCCCAGAUGGGAUUAGCUAGUAGGUGGGGUAAAGGCUCACCUAGGCGACGAUCCCUAGCUGGUCUGAGAGGAUGACCAGCCACACUGGAACUGAGACACGGUCCAG